AGUCGUAACAAGGUUUUGCUAAGCAACAGUCCUUCUGUAGCAGAGCUUAACGGAGACCUUGCACCCGAGAGGGGGGGAGGCGACUAUAAAUGAACUCCCAGCGCAAGUCAGCACUGCUGGCAACACAAUCGAAUUGCGGGGACGCUUUAAAGCCCACCAGUACCAACUGCUCCUCUGGGGCAGGGCCAGCUCUGCUGGAGGUCACAAUCUGGUGGGAUGUUACAAUAAGCAAUCCGCAGCGGCUCGGCCGUCCACAGACUAAGUGGUUGUGGGUAGGUAGCCCCUACUUAAGAUAUAGUCGGGCCCUGUGACAGGUCACAGGGGCUUCUGCGUCCGUAGGUGAACCUGCGGAAGGAUCAUUAAUAAAAAGGGAUACCUUCGGGGUAUACCCCACCCGUGUCUACAUACUCUUGUUGCUUUGGCAGGCCGUGGUCUUCCACUGUGGGCUCUGCCUGCAUGUGCCUGCCAGAGGACCAAACUCUGAAUUUUAGUGAUGUCUGAGUACUAUAUAAUAGUUAAAAA
rnacentral:misc_RNA from 1 species